GGACUUGUGGCUCAGCGGUAGAGUGCCCACCUAGCACAUGUGAGGCACUGGGUUCGAUCCUCAGUACCA
rnacentral:tRNA from 1 species